UUUGAGUGUGCUGCCUGUUUUUUGUGUGUGGCUCUUGUGUGGGGUCGUUAGUUAGCAAGUGUUUGUCGGUCGGUUCGGUUCCAAUCCAACUUCGCGAGUCUCGUGUUCUUAGUGCUGUUUUAAGGCAUACCGCUUGGUGUCGUGUCCUGUGGGUCGUGUUUUGCGUGCAACGUGAGGCCUAGAAGCACUCGGGCUAGGCUGCCGUCUGGCAUUUACGAUUUGUCGUUCAAAGUGUUCUGAAAUUAAACAAGUCUGCCAAAGUAUUAGUGUUCUUUCUCUGGUGUGUGGCAAACAUCCGCUCGUGCACACAGAAAGCCUUUUCAUGUCUGAGUUCGUUAACCAUUUUUGUUCUGUGUAUUUUCCUACCCUGUAUUAUUUUAGUCUGGA